GAUGAAGAACGUAGUGAAAUGCGAUACGUAAUGUGAAUUGCAGAAUUCAGUGAAUCAUCGAGUCUUUGAACGCACAUUGCGCCCCCUGGUAUUCCGGGGGGCAUGCCUGUCCGAGCGUCAUUUCAACCCUCGAGCCCCCCCGGGGGGUCGGCGUUGGGGAUCGGCUGUCAAGUCAAGACUGCCGGCCCCGAAAUGCAGUGGCGGUCUCGCCGCAGCCUCUCCUGCGCAGUAGCUUGCACGCUCGCAACGGGAGCGCGGCGCGUCCACGGCCGUGAAACAACCCAAACUUCUGAAAGGUUGACCUCGGAUCAGGUAGGAAUACCCGCUGAACUUAAGCAUAUCAAUAAGCGGAGGA
rnacentral:misc_RNA from 1 species